UGCCAGCCGCCGCGGUAAUACGGAGGGUGCAAGCGUUGUUCGGAAUUACUGGGCGUAAAGAGCAUGUAGGCGGAUGAAUUAGUCAGAGGUGAAAGCCCCGAGCUCAACUUGGGAACUGCCUUUGAUACUGUUUAUCUAGAGUCCGAGAGAGGUUAGUGGAAUUCCCAGUGUAGAGGUGAAAUUCGUAGAUAUUGGGAAGAACACCAGUGUCGAAGGCGGCUAACUGGCUCGGUACUGACGCUGAGAUGCUAACGCGUGGGGCGAAAACAGGCUUAGAUA
rnacentral:rRNA from 1 species